UGCUUCUCACAAAUUCAAAAUGUUAAGCAAUAAAGAGCAUGACUUUCAUCAUGUUCUACCAUCAUUCUCAAAAUAGUUUUCUAAAAUUCUACCAUAUAGCUUAAUGUUUUCAGCCACUGCUGCUUUUUUUUUUUUUCUGAAAGGGAAGAUGAUUUACUGUGUUUUGUGAAAUUAACACUUCUUUAAUCUGGGACUUCUGUGGUGAGGCAAUUAGUCUUCCUUUGUUUUAGACAUUUUAUCCAGGUCUGUGUGAGGUUAACAUGGUGACAUUUUUUUUUUGGUGUUCAGUCUCUCUCCAUAUAAAUCCAUAUUAAUGGGAUAAUCCCUUCCUCCUGGAAGGAAAUCUCAAACAUCAUCAAUUGUGUAGCACUGACAACAGUUGUGUGUAAGGCAUUGUGCUGUUAGAAAACAUGGAAGUUUUGCAAAAACACGUUUAAUUACAAUUUCACAAAAAGCACAAGUUGCAACAGGAAAAAAAUCUCACUGGCCAUGAGGAAAAAAAUCUUCAGUGUUAGAACAGCUAGUCAGCUACUAGAACAAUUUCCAGAGGGAGGUUUUUGGGUCUGUUAGCCUUCCAGAUUUUCAGAACUUGACUGAAUGGGGCCCAGAGCAAGGUGAUCUAUCUUUGAAGUUAGCUCUGUUUUGAGUAAAAGUUAUGAUUAUGUGACAGCUAGAAGUACUUUGCCACCUAAUUUUUCUGUAUUUCUCCCUGCAUUGCAAUUAAAUUAAUAGUUGAGCUGAUUUCAGUGCAAUUUUUAUGAGGAUGAUAUUCCAUAUAUUGGGUACAUGGAUGGAAUGUCUUGGUCUUAUCAUGCUUUUCAUCUAUACAAUGUAACUUGGUGGGUUAUCUCAGCUUUGUGUGAUGACGGCACCUUCCAAAAAAAGCAGGUAAUUUUAAAAGUUCAGGUCUUGUUCAAAAUGUUGUGGGGUGUUUUUCUAAUGAAGGUAUAAACUUCUAUACUUUAAGAUGAUUGCAGGGAGCAGGUAUCUGACAUGUGAAACACUGACCUCAAAACCAACUUUGCCAGACAUGGAGAACAACAUGGAAGCAUCUGUAAAGAAAGGUUGUGCCAGAAGAAGACAGAAAGAAGAAGGUUAUUCGAAGUUAAAGAGAGCCAAAAGAAGUAAAACUUCUACUUAAGGAGUUCUGGAGUAUUGAAAGAAAACACUACAUCUGGGUUCCCAAGAGGGCAGUAACAUACUUCAGAAUCUCUGAACUUUGUGUAUUUUGCUGUUUGCCAUUGGUAGCAGUUUCUGGAUGAAAAUUUGAGGGUUAAAUACAGUCAGAUGAAUCCAUGUAUCAUCAACUUCUUCAGACAGUUCAG
rnacentral:lncRNA from 1 species